GGGCCUAUAGCUCAGUUGGUCAGAGCGCACGCCUGAUAAGCGUGAGGUCGAUGGUUCAAAUCCAUCUAGGCCCACCA
rnacentral:tRNA from 2 species